UUUCAUUUCCUUGAUAUGUGUUAUCUGGAUUGACUCAGGCGCUGACUGUACACUAUCAUCUCACUGCUGCUGGUGACUGUCACAAACAAAGUUGUGUGUGUGUGUGUGUGUGUGUGUAAUCUCAAACAACAGAAGGGGAGAUGAUCAGAGGAGCUGCGUUCUGACAAUUUUUUUGGAGAUGUGGACUGAAGUACGGGAAGAUCUCUCCACCGAACGAGCACUGAGUGAACGAGUGAAUGUGAGACCGAGCCGUCACGAGACCCUCCUCGUAGUCCACGAACACCCCCACCUUCUGAGGUCAAAUACAGGUCGUUACACUGAUGGAUCAAUAAUACGUCUGACCACACUUCACUGUGAGCCACGUAGAACCAACCUCUCCUCCACAGGCUGCAGAGAUCUUUGCAGAACGGUCUCCAUGACUUUCUUCACCUCGGAGAAGACGUUGUUGAUCUCCAGACACUCGGUGUCCAAUCUAACCUGAUGAUGGACAGUGGACAUGUCAAGAGAAACAUGAACAGAAACCAUAUUGGAAAGUGAAUUCUUACCUUCAAGCGUUUCACAGAUAAUUCCACUUCUUCCAUCUUGAGUUUCCUAAUAUGAAUUCUGCACUGUAGCUCAGCCUUAAAGGAAGAAAGACGACAAUUAAAUAAAGUGUAAUAGAACCGUAGACGUCAAAGAUGGUCGACGUGUCUCCACUUCCUCCCGUUGCAUGAAAAUGAAGCCAAAAUAUCCCAAAUAUUCUGCUGCUGCCAUAUUGUGCUGGUGAUUUGGAGCGAAUCGCUCUCAGCUGUCAAUCAUAACGUUUCACAGCAUUUUAAUCUCAUCACAAUAAUAAGGAAAAGUCUGAGAACAAAUUUGCGAUAUUUAUGAGAAUAAAGUCACAUUACGAAAAUCAUGAAACACGACUAUAUUUAUUUAUAUUAAUUAUAUUCUUAGCAUUUUACAACUUUAUUCUUGCUUGCUUCAUUCAAAAUUACAGUAAACAUCUUUAGAAAAUGCUAUUUUACGUGUACUUUGCCUUUAAGACACAGGUGGCGUCCAUUUUCUUUCCCCAUCUUUCACACAUGCCCCAAAUAUAUCUUUUUGAAAAAGGAUUCAUCCUCUGGGGACCAUGUGGUGUCUGUGCCAAGUUUCAAAUUUUUCAGAUUGAUGACCCAAUAAACAGUUUCAUUCAGAGUUAUUAGAAGUGUAAUAAUAACCUUCAUGCGCAGUUUUUCCGCCUCCCUCUGCUCCUCUUCUUCCUCCUCUCUUGGAGGGACGGCGGUCGUUGGAGGCGUCGUCUAAAAGGAGGAAAACAUUAGAUAAUAUAAUUAUGGAGAAUCAAACUCUUUGUUCUUACGAUCUGAUUCACAGGAUGAAGCUGCAGUAG